AUAGAGUAAAAAAAAAAAACACUUGAAGGUAAUGUUUGAAGACUUUCCUUUUUUUUUUUCUUUAUAAAGAUCCUUAAAGUUAUUUACAUGAUUAGAGGUAAGGAGCUAGUCAUUUAACCAUAAAUAUUUAAGAGCAAAUCUGCACAAACUCUUAACCAACCGCAAAUAUCCCUUUUCUCCAUAAAAAUAUGGGAAAUUCCCUGACAGUAAAAUCUUUUAACCGUCGAGAUAAUAAAAGUUUCGAGAUCAGGAAAAUUUCAAUUCCUUUUUUUUUUUUCCUUCCUGAUUCUCAUCCUGUUAUUGUUAUUGUUAUUAUGGAUGAAGUCAUAAAUGCAAACAAUCCUGUCAACACAGAAAUACUUCAUUUUAUAUUAUUAUUAUUUUUUUUUUUGAUACAACCAAUUUUUG
rnacentral:lncRNA from 1 species